GUAUUAUGAAAUGGUGCCAACACGCUGAAAUGACUUUUCAACCUUUACCAUUUCAUUUUAUCAUAUUUCACUUAUCUUUUAGGUUUGAACUACCCAGACUGCCUCCGGUCCUUUUGAUUGAACUCGUUGGCUGUUCUGCACGAGUCCAACGAGACUUGCUUCAUUUAUUUUUUCCUCACCGUCCUCCUCCAGCCUUCUUCUUGAGCGCCACCACCGGCCACCACCGGCCACGGACCUCGGCUUCCC
rnacentral:lncRNA from 1 species